AGCCGCCGCGGGAAAACAGAGGAUGCAAGCGUUAAUCGGAAUUACUGGGCGUAAAGCGCACGCAGGCGGUCCGACAAGUCAGAUGUGAAAUCCCCGGGCUUAACCUGGGAACUGCAUUUGAAACUGUCAGGCUGGAGUCUUGUAGAGGGGGGUGGAAUUCCAGGUGUAGCGGUGAAAUGCGUAGAGAUCUGGAGGAAUACCGGUGGCGAAGGCGGCCCCCUGGACAAAGACUGACGCUCAGGUGCGAAAGCGUGGGGAGCAAACAGGAUUAGAUACCCGCGUAGUCCCUGUCUCUUAUCAC
rnacentral:rRNA from 1 species